rfam:Triticum aestivum genome assembly, contig: Triticum_aestivum_CS42_TGACv1_scaffold_093684_2AL
AGGGGUGCAGCACAGCUUGGUAGCACGUUUGUUUUGGGUACAAAACGUCACAGGUUCAAAUCCUGUCAUCCCUA